UGGAAAGCCUGGAAGCUGAAAUCUUCUAUUUAUCCACAGACCAAUUACAGCAUAGGAAGCAGCAACAGCACCACCACUAGCUUUUCCCGACUUCCUCACUAGUAUGAGAGUUCUUCUGUGUCAUGGUUAAGUGAAGAGCUCAGUCUCCAUGCAGUUCUUGGCCUCUGCUGCC
rnacentral:sRNA from 1 species